rnacentral:rRNA from 1 species
CCUACGGGAGGCAGCAGUGAGGAAUAUUGGUCAAUGGACGAGAGUCUGAACCAGCAAAGUAGCGUGAAGGAUGACUGCCCUAUGGGUGGUAAACUUCUUUUAUAUGGGAAUAAAAUGUUCCACGUGUGGGAUUUUGUAUGUACCAUAUGAAUAAGGAUCGGCUAACUCCGUGCCAGCAGCCGCGGUAAUACGGAGGAUCCGAGCGUUAUCCGGAUUUAUUGGGUUUAAAGGGAGCGUAGGUGGAUUGUUAAGUCAGUUGUGAAAGUUUGCGGCUCAACCGUAAAAUUGCAGUUGAAACUGGCAGUCUUGAGUACAGUAGAGGUGGGCGGAAUUCGUGGUGUAGCGGUGAAAUGCUUAGAUAUCACGAAGAACUCCGAUUGCGAAGGCAGCUCACUGGACUGCAACUGACACUGAGGCUCGAAAGUGUGGGUAUCAAACAGGAUUAGAUACCCCGGUAGUC